UAUCUCUGUAGAGUCUGCAUAUCAAUAAGCGGAGGAAAAGAAACUAACUAGGAUUCCCUUAGUAACGGCGAGUGAAGCGGGAAGAGCUCAGAUUUGAAAUCUUCAAGGUUCUACCUUGACGAAUUGCUAGUUUAAAGAAGUGUUUUCUGUUGGAGUUUUGGUAAAAGUUCUUUGGAAUAGGACAUCAUAGAGGGUGAGAAUCCCGUAUUCGACCAUUACUUUCCAGCUUUGUGAUACACUUUCAAAGAGUCGGAUUGUUUGGGAAUGCAGUCCAAAAUGGGUGGUAAAUUUCAUCUAAAGCUAAAUAUUGGCGAGAGACCGAUAGCGAACAAGUACCGUGAGGGAAAGAUGAAAAGAACUUUGAAAAGAGAGUUAAACAGUACGUGAAAUUGUCAAAAGGGAAGCGUUUGACACCAGUGUUGUUUUCUCGAAAAUCAAUUAAAAAAGGCAGGAUUUUGUGUUGUAUUGACUUUAUCAGCUUUCUGCACUCUUUUCUUGUCUUUUCUAAUGCACUUUUCGUUUAACAAGUCAACAUCAAUUUCUUUUGUUGUAAAAGGGUCAUUGGAAGGUGGCUUUCUUUUCGGAGAAAGUGUUUAUAGCCUUUGGCCUCUGCAAUCGGAGAGAUUGAGGUCUGCAGCGUAGAUCCUUCGGGGUUAGAUACAUUUGUGCUAAGUUAUAGCCUUUCAUAGACAACUUAUUGACUAUGAUCAGUCAUGUAGCUUACUCGCUUAUGCUAUUUUACCUACGCUUAGGAUGUUGACGAUCAGCUGAGCGCG
rnacentral:rRNA from 1 species